rnacentral:rRNA from 1 species
CGGACGGGUGAGUAAUGUCUGGGAAACUGCCCGAUGGAGGGGGAUAACUACUGGAAACGGUAGCUAAUACCGCAUAACGUCGCAAGACCAAAGAGGGGGACCUUCGGGCCUCUUGCCAUCGGAUGUGCCCAGAUGGGAUUAGCUAGUAGGUGGGGUAACGGCUCACCUAGGCGACGAUCCCUAGCUGGUCUGAGAGGAUGACCAGCCACACUGGAACUGAGAUACGGUCCAG